rfam:Streptomyces hygroscopicus ATCC 53653 genomic scaffold supercont1.1, whole genome shotgun sequence.
CUUCACCGUGCCCAGCAGCAGCGGGCGCGUCCGGUCCUGGCCGUAGGUCGCCAGCAGGGCCUGCGCCUC